GACGAACGCUGGCGGCGUGCUUAACACAUGCAAGUCGAACGGAAAGGCCCUGCUUUUGUGGGGUGCUCGAGUGGCGAACGGGUGAGUAACACGUGAGUAACCUGCCCUUGACUUUGGGAUAACUUCAGGAAACUGGGGCUAAUACCGGAUAGGAGCUCCUGCUGCAUGGUGGGGGUUGGAAAGUUUCGGCGGUUGGGGAUGGACUCGCGUCUUAUCAGCUUGUUGGUGGGGUAGUGGCUUACCAAGGCUUUGACGGGUAGCCGGCCUGAGAGGGUGACCGGCCACAUUGGGACUGAGAUACGGCACAGACUCCUACGGGAGGCAGCAGUGGGGAAUAUUGCACAAUGGGCGGAAGCCUGAUGCAGCAACGCCGCGUGCGGGAUGACGGCCUUCGGGUUGUAAACCGCUUUCGCUUGUGACGAAGCGUGAGUGACGGUAAUGGGUAAAGAAGCACCGGCUAACUACGUG
rnacentral:rRNA from 1 species